GAUGAACGCUAGCUACAGGCUUAACACAUGCAAGUCGAGGGACCGGCGCACGGGUGAGUAACACGUAUCCAACCUUCCCUUUACCCGGGGAUAGCCUUUCGAAAGAAAGAUUAAUACUCGAUAUAAAGGAUGGGGAUGCGUUCCAUUAGGUUGUUGGUGAGGUAACGGCCCACCAAGCCUUCGAUGGAUAGGGGUGCUGAGAGGAAGGUCCCCCACAUUGGAACUGAGGCACGGUCCAAACUCCUACGGGAGGCAGCAGUGAGGAAUAUUGGUCAAUGAGCGUUAGCCUGAACCAGCCACGUGGCGUGAAGGAGGAAGGCUUAUGGGUAGUAAACUUCUUUUAUAUAAGAAUAGGUAUUAUAUGAAUAAGGAUCGGCUAACUCCGUGCCAGCAGCCGCGGUAAUAC
rnacentral:rRNA from 1 species